UACGUAGGGGGCUAGCGUUGCUCGGAAUCACUGGGCGUAAAGGGUGCGUAGGCGGGUCUUUAAGUCAGGGGUGAAAUCCUGGAGCUCAACUCCAGAACUGCCUUUGAUACUGAAGAUCUUGAGUUCGGGAGAGGUGAGUGGAACUGCGAGUGUAGAGGUGAAAUUCGUAGAUAUUCGCAAGAACACCAGUGGCGAAGGCGGCUCACUGGCCCGAUACCGACGCUGAGGCACGAAAGCGUGGGGAGCAAACAGG
rnacentral:rRNA from 1 species